rnacentral:rRNA from 1 species
GACGUAGGGGGCCAGCGUUGUUCGGAAUUACUGGGUGUAAAGGGUUCGUAGGCGGUGCGGCAAGUCGGGAGUGAAAUCUCUGGGCUUAGCCCAGAGGCUGCUUCCGAAACUGCUGUGCUUGAGUGUGGGAGAGGCGCGUGGAAUUGCGAGGUGUAGCGGUGAAAUGCGUAGAUAUCUGCAGGAACACCCGUGGCGAAAGCGGCGCGCUGGACCACUACUGACGCUGAGGAACGAAAGCUAGGGGAGCAAACAGG